AACAGGUAGCUGACAUUACUGCCGUACGAGACUCUUAUUAAGCAUUAUUUUAUCUUCUGUAAGCUGCUGGCAGUGUUUGAAUACUGGUGUGAAACAGCCAUUUGAAGGUUUGGUCAUCAUCUCUGUUCUGCAGAUGAAGAAACAGACCCAGGAAGGGAUUACCAGCUCAAAUAGCCAAGAUGGAAACACUCAUUCCUUGUUUGCUGUCUGAUGAGGCCUGUAUGCCACGCACUGCAUGGCCAAUCCCCCACACUCACGGUGCACGUCAAACCUCAGCCAGUAACGUCCUCACAGUGCACGUCAAACCUCAGCCAGUAACGUCCUCACGGUGCACGUCAAACCUCAGCCAGUAACGUCCUCACGGUGCACGUCAAACCUCAGCCAGUAACGUCCUCACGGUGCACGUCAAACCUCAGCCAGUAACGUCCUCACGGUGCACGUCAAACCUCAGCCAGUAACGUCCAAGUCGGUUGUGCGCAUCCCAAAGCAAUGGCGCUGCUUCCCUGGAAAGAGAAGAGAGGGCAGGAGAGUCUGGGGUAUGACUGAAGGCUGAAAACUAGCCAACAAAGAAAUGUGGAAGACACAAUAUUCAGUCUGUACAGGGAGAUGGACAUACAUGACAGACAAGAGGCAAAGCCAUAGGAAUUGGCAGAGAAGAGGUUGUUCUCAAUGAUGUAGAAAAGAUUAAGAAAUCAUGAAGACGAUGCUGGAGCACAAACAUAGAUAAUGUACUGGCAUCAAAAAUGCUGAUGGAGGACAAAGGAGGUCUGAGAGAGAGCAUAGCUGUGCAGACACGACCGACCCUGAUCGCAGAACCAAAAGAAUGAGAGGUAUCGCAGGGAACAGGGGAUGGAGAGAGACACCAGCGAGCUGUAGAGGCAGCAGCAGGAAAGGAAGUGAAUGGUCUAUGGCAGACAUGCAAGACCAGUGUUUCACAUUAAAAACUUAUCCCUUCUCAUGGACUGAGAGCAUCUAUGCCCAGUUGUAAGAUCUUGAAUUUCUUGGGAGACAUAAAUAAGGUAGGUUUUAUUUUCC
rnacentral:lncRNA from 1 species